CUCGCCUUUCCCCGCCCGCCCCGAGUGAGGGAAUGCAAUCCCCUCCAAGCGCAGACAGGCAGCGGCGGCGGCGGCUCCUCUGCAGCGGCGGCGGCUCCGGGCACCCAGAGAAAGCUGUCAAAGGCGCCCGUGCCCGGGGCUGGGCGCGCGCCGCCUCGCUCCGAGCCCCCGCCCCCGGCCUCCAGGUACCCCAGAGCGCGAGCGGCCGCGCGGCACGUGCGCCCCGCGCCGCCGCAGCCCCCGGAGCGGAGCCCGAGCCCGAGCCCGAGCCGGAGCCCGAGCCGGGGGCCGGGAGCCGGCGCGGGGCGGGGGCGCACGCGGCGGCCGGCAGCCCCGGACCUCGGCGCUGCCCCGCGCCCCGCGCCCAGGGCGGACUAUGCCAUUGGGAGCCCGCCGGGGCCGAGGCCAACUUGGAGCCGCCGCGGCCGGGGGAGGAGGAGGUGCCCGGGCGGCCCGGAGCAGCUCUCCCCGGGGCCGCGGCCGAGGCGGAGGGGCCCCGGCCGCGCAGCCUUGAGGCGGAGGAGCAGCCAGCCCCCGGCGGGCCGGGGCCGGAGGAAGAGCUCGGGGCCGCGCCAGGCCGGAGGGGAGCGCCCUGCCCUGCCCCGCUCUGCCCCGCGCCGCACGCACGCACGCAGCCCGAGGCCAGCAGAGGAUGUCAGCACAUGUGUGCCAUGGUAUCAUUCACCCUUCACUGCAGCCCGAGGCUUGUCCUCCUCUUCUGCUCAUGAGUGCCGGGGACGACACUGCAGGUGGGCGGUCCAGGUAAGGGCUUGCUGUGGGGGAGGGAAGGGGAAGCUGCUCCCCUGGGGCUGAGAGCCGGCCUGUGCUUCCGAGGUGGGGGAAGGAUCAUUUUGGCUCCCUUCUCUCUCCGUUUGAAGUCUGUCUGGGGCCUGAGACCGUCACGGGGUAGAUGGUAGCUGCUAAAUUAGCUUCUCCCAGAUAUUGACUCCCACUUUCUAAAUAGGUGAGCAUUGGAUUUUUGCCUUUGACUGACAGAUGUGAAGAGACCUUCUCCCCAGCCUUCCCCUUCAGGGUUCCGAAGGGCCUGCUAUUAGUCAUCCUAUUGAUGUGCUGUAGAGUCAGGGGCCCACUGAGAUUGGAAUAU
rnacentral:lncRNA from 1 species